rnacentral:pre_miRNA from 1 species
AAUAGAUGACGCCGUUGACUUUUUAUCACAUGUUUAACCAUUCGUCUUAUUAAAAAAAAUUAUGUAAUUAUAAUUAUUUUAUUAUGAGUUCUUUUAUCAUUUAUAGUACUUUAAGUGUGAUUUAUAUCUUAUACAUUUGUAUAAAAUUUUUGAAUAAGACGAAUGGUCAAACAUGUGAGAAAAAGUCAACAGCGUCAUCUAUU